rnacentral:rRNA from 1 species
AUGCGCGUGCGGUUAUCCUCUUGCGUCUGGGCGCAACACAUACCACCACACAUCAUGGCCCUGACAGAGCCCGUCGCCCACCCAUCAUGGACCAUCUACAAGGGCGAACAGGCCGACAAGAGGGUCCGGCAAGACCACCCCGCGCGGGCGCGGGAGCGACGCGAGACGCCGCAUGACUGUGGCCUCGGGCAUGCGCUCCUGCUCCACUUGACUUGUCUUGGAUUGUCCAGGUGGGGCGCCCGUGUCGAAGCCGUUUGCGCCAAAGUCUACUGGAUGACGGUCUCGGUCCACCCCCAUCAUGUACAUGUGCCGACUACAGCGAUCACGCGCCCUCGGUCCACCCGUCAUGGACAUACGCUUACUAUAGUGAUCGCGUGCCCUCGGUCCACCCGUCGUCGACCUUCCAGCUGGGUCGCCGGGGUGCGUGCCGUGCGAUCAGAUCGAACAGCUCGCCUCAUCCCUGAGAGCCUUCUAUCACAAUCUACCGAGGAUCACGCGCCCUCGGGCCACCCGUCAUCGAGCUUCUGGCAGAGUCGCCCGGUUGCGAGCCGUCCGGGCAGAUCAGAUGGCCCGGAGCCGCCCCACGAGGCUCCUGGCCCAAGCCAACUGGCAAUGGAGGGACAGGAGCCUUUCCUCACCAUCGAAAACGACGGCAAGACCCGAAACCCAUACGCCUCGCCGCCCCCAUUUCCCAUCCUCACCCUCACAGGAACAAAUCAUCAGAGUGCCCUCUUCCCAGACGCGUUGUUCGCACCGGAUCUGAUGGAGCACCCGCAACCAGUAACCAUGCCCGGCCAUGGAGUCGAGACCGUCCUCGAUGACCUUCCCGAGUCGAUUGUCGUCGACGAUAUCCUCGUCCGUUUGCCGGCCAGAGACAUCAUGCACUGUCGCUGCGUCCGCAAGGGGUGGCGCAGUGCAACCUCGGCCGACAAGUUCAUGCUUGAUCACCACCGCCGUCAGCCCUUGCUCAGGGUCCUCGGUCAUGUCGUGGAGCCGCAGACGGUGUCCCGCCUCUUGCUUUCCUUUGACGCCAGUGCAGGCCAGCAACAGCUCUGCCCCGUGGUCCGGACAUACAGCGGUAGACUCCUGGCUUCCCUUGAUGGGCUCAUCAUUGUCUCCCAUGGAUCCUUCAGUGUGCGAACUUCUUCGUCUCCUCCGGUAAACUUCUUCAUCUGCAACCUGGUCACCCAUGAGUGUGCUCCUCUAGUGACGCCUCCAAGCCAGCAUGGAUUUAUGCACCACAUCGCAGGCUUUUAUCGGCACCAACAAUCUGGGGAAUACCGGGUGCUUUGGGUCUCUACUCGGAGGUACUUUGACGGACAGGAGCCUCUCCUCGCCCUCGAAAAGACCAGGAAGGCGCGCACUCCAGCAUCCUUUAUAGGAAUAAUGAGUUAA